UACGUAGGGUGCAAGCGUUAUCCGGAAUUACUGGGCGUAAAGCGUGAGUAGGUGGUUUCUUAAGUCUGCUGUGAAAGCCCCGGGCUCAUCCUGGGAAUUGCAGUGGAUACUGGGAAGCUAGAGUGCGGUAGAGGGUAGUGGAAUUCCCGGUGUAGCGGUGAAGUGCGUAGAGAUCGGGAGGAACACCAGUGGCGAAGGCGGCUACCUGGACCAGCACUGACACUGAGUCACGAAAGCGUGGGGAGCAAACAGG
rnacentral:rRNA from 1 species